UUGUAAAAUGUUUAACACUCACGUUCCCAAAUGAUGCAGCAAACGUAUUUGUUUUUCAGGGCUCCAGGUGGACGCUGCAAGCAACAGCUAUGAAUGGGAAAAUUGGACUUCUUGAACUUCAGCCGGAUCAGAUGCAGACCGUGAACGCCAUCUUGAUCAUCAUCAUGGUCCCCAUCAUGGAUGCUGUGGUGUACCCUAUGAUUGCAAAGUGUGGCUUCAAUUUCAC